UACGAAGGGUGCUAGCGUUGUUCGGAAUCAUUGGGCGUAAAGCGCGCGUAGGCGGCCCGGUAAGUCCGCUCUGAAAGUCCAGGGCUUAACCCUGGAAAGCGGGUGGAUACUGCCGGGCUUGAAUCCGGAAGAGGCGAGUGGAAUUCCUGGUGUAGCGGUGGAAUGCGCAGAUAUCAGGAGGAACACCAAUAGCGAAGGCAGCUCGCUGGGACGGUAUUGACGCUAAGGCGCGAAAGCGUGGGGAGCAAACAGG
rnacentral:rRNA from 1 species